GCAUCGUUUGAAGAUUCGCUGUCGCAGCACACGCACGGAAAGGUUUCACUUUCUUCUUUGGCUGCGGGGAAAGUCCCCGGAGAAACAGGGUUAUAUCUUCUCGUUCGCAAUGGAAAUCUCCCAGCUCUAAGAGCGCUGCGGGGAACGAGACUGGUCGGGAAGGUCGAUUUACUGGACUUGUUGCCAUCAGGCUCAGGACCAGUUCCGCUUGCCUACCUUGUUGCUUUCUUGACUCCGAAUACUCUUCCAACUGCACGGCUAUGCGAAGAUAUGAGCGUGGUCGUGUUUGGGUAUCUUGGACGACGGUUGGCGCUUCGUUGCUCAUAGACAUAGUUAUGCGAUUGUCGACACUGCUUCUGGCAUGUCAUCAACUCAAUGGGGCUCACUCUCAUUCGAUG
rnacentral:RNase_MRP_RNA from 2 species